rnacentral:tRNA from 2 species
CAAACUGUAGCUUAAAUAAAGCAUCUUGCUUACACCAAGAAAAUGCCUGAUAAACCCAGACCACUUUGA